CUAAGCAGAAGGGGCAAGUAAACACAUAAAAAAUAUGCGUACAAAAGGCAGAAUUCGAAAUAUAAAACUUAGGAAAGGAAACAAAAUAGCACAAAAGAGCAAUGUUACUUAGGAAAUACUAAUAAUAUGAGGUCCAUUCUUGUAUAGUUCGGGGAAAAAAGAAAAUUUAAAGAGGUUUGUCCUGGCAAUGUAAGGGGAGGGUGCGAGGGGGUGGGAAUGACUGGUUUUCCUGGAUGCAGAAGAGUUAUGUAUGGACUAGGAUCUGAAGAGAAUUUACGGUUUAUGAAGGAGUAAAGGAACUUCAGGCGUAUUAUUUUUCACCUUGUUUGAAGGGUGUGAAAACGAUUAGUGCGCUUCAGUUAUAGACUU